AUUUAUCUUCGGGAUAGGUAGUAGUUAAGGUGAUGGCUUAACUAGCUUAAAAUUCUCGUAGUCGAAGCUGAAAGGUUGAUCGACCACAUUGGGUCUGAAAAAACCCCAAUGCAAGUUAGUACAGCAGUGAGGAAUCUUGGUCAAUGGCCUAACGGCUGAACUGGCAACUUGGAGAAGUGGCAAGUCUUAUUUUUGAUUAUAAUUUUAGAUAAUCUAUAAGAUUGUAUUAAAAUUGAAUAAAACUUUGUUUAUAUAUUGAUAAUGACAAUAUAUAUAUCGUGUCUUGACUAAUUACGUGCCAGCAGUCGCGGUAAUACGUAAGAGACUAGUGUUAUUCAUCUUAAUUAGGUUUAAAGGGUACCUAGACGGUCAAUAUAGCUUCUAGAAUGUUAGUACUUGACUAGAGUUUGAUGUAAGGGGGCAGUACUUGAGGAGGAGAGAUGAAAUUCUAUUAUACCAAAGGGACUCGGUAAAGGCGAAGGCAGCCCUUUAUGUAAAAACUGACGUUGAAGGACGAAGGCACAGAGCACAAACAGGAUUAGAUACCCAAGUAGUCUUUGCAGUAAAUGAUGAAUGCCAUAGGUUAGAUUAAAU
rnacentral:rRNA from 1 species